UAGGGAAUCUUCCGCAAUGGACGCAAGUCUGACGGAGCAACGCCGCGUGAGUGAAGAAGGAUUUCGGUUCGUAAAACUCUGUUGUUAGAGAAGAACAGCGCAUAGAGUAACUGUUAUGCGUGUGACGGUAUCUAACCAGAAAGCCACGGCUAACUACGUGCCAGCAGCCGCGGUAAUACGUAGGUGGCAAGCGUUGUCCGGAUUUAUUGGGCGUAAAGCGAGCGCAGGCGGUCAAUUAAGUCUGAUGUGAAAGCCCCCGGCUCAACCGGGGAGGGUCAUUGGAAACUGGUUGACUUGAGUGCAGAAGAGGAGAGUGGAAUUCCAUGUGUAGCGGUGAAAUGCGUAGAUAUAUGGAGGAACACCAGUGGCGAAGGCGACUCUCAGGUCUGUAACUGACGCUGAGGCUCGAAAGCGUGGGUAGCAAACAGG
rnacentral:rRNA from 1 species